rnacentral:sRNA from 1 species
CACCACCACCAUCAUCCUGACUAGUCUUUCGGGAGAUGUGGUUUCGACUGGAAGACAAGGAGUAAGGUUCUUCCACCGGUCAUCAAAGCGAGCACAAGAUUCAGACCCCCGGAAGCGAACCUUCCGGGGGUUUUC